CAGCAGCCGCGGGAAUACGUAGGGUGCAAGCGUUGUCCGGAAUCAUUGGGCGUAAAGCGCGCGUAGGUGGCCAUUUAAGUCCGCUGUGAAAGUCAAAGGCUCAACCUUUGAAAGCCGGUGGAUACUGGAUGGCUAGAGUACGGAAGAGGCGAGUGGAAUUCCUGGUGUAGCGGUGGAAUGCGCAGAUAUCAGGAGGAACACCAAUAGCGAAGGCAGCUCGCCGGGACGUUACUGACACUGAGGCGCGAAAGCGUGGGGAGCGAACAGGAUUAGAGACCCCGGUAGUCCCUGUCUCUUAUAC
rnacentral:rRNA from 1 species